rnacentral:rRNA from 1 species
CUACGAUGGGAGGGCAUAGUCGUUCGGACUUCGAUUUGGUGGCGUAAAGAGCUCGUAGGUGGUUCGGUAAGUCGGGUGUUAAACCCCCCAGGCUCAACCUGGGGACGCCACUCGAUACUGCUGUGACUAGAGUCCGGUAGGGGAGCGUGGAAUUCCUGGUGUAGCGGUGGAAUGCGCAGAUAUCAGGAGGAACACCGGUGGCGAAGGCGGGAUCCUGGGCCAGUACUGACGCUGAGGAGCGAAAGCGUGGGGAGCAAACAGG